UACGUAGGGUGCGAGCGUUGUCCGGAAUUAUUGGGCGUAAAGGGCUCGUAGGCGGUCUGUCGCGUCGGGAGUGAAAACUCAAAGCUUAACCCUGAGCCUGCUUCCGAUACGGGCAGACUAGAGGUAUGCAGGGGAGAACGGAAUUCCUGGUGUAGCGGUGAAAUGCGCAGAUAUCAGGAGGAACACCGGUGGCGAAGGCGGUUCUCUGGGCAUUACCUGACGCUGAGGAGCAAAAGUGUGAGGAGCGAACAGG
rnacentral:rRNA from 1 species